rnacentral:lncRNA from 1 species
AUUAUUUGAGAAAUGAUUUAUUUCUCAAUCAAUAUUUUGUACUUUUAACUAAUUUUUUGGUAUGCUUUGACCCUACUUUGGAAGGUUAUAUUGUUUAUUGGGCUAGUAUAGUUCAUUAUUAUGUUUUCUCUAUUUUUCAUAUCUAAAUACAUGAUUGUAUUUUUCAUAUCUAAUAUAUGAUUGCUCCGAACUUGGGGAGUAUACUAGCUUUUUUGAAGAUACUUUUAGUUAUUUGAAUUUUAGUCGUACUAGUUAAAAUAUUUUAAUUAAUUUAUAUUAAUAAUUAACAGAUGUUGAUCUAUGGCAUUUUGGAACUAUUAUAAGGGACAUUUGAAUAAAUUCUUAAAUAAAUAAAUUUUUAGAAAUUAUUGUUGCUUGAUAUAAUCUGUAGUCUUGCAUAUUUGUUUGGUCUGCUAUACAAAUAUGUGGUGUUUGUUAUGUUCUGGUUCAGGGCGUGACCGGGUCAGAGACCCUUCAAGUUGGUUCCAACAUGCACUAUCACGGAAUGGCUGCAAUCAGUGCAGAGGACAAAAGGAGAAAAAUAAUUAAUGACGAACGAUUCAUGCUUUCAUUUAUUUGAGCAAUUCUGAAUAUAAGAAAACCAGUUAAACAACCAUAAGAGACGUUACUUGAGGAGCACAAAAUUUCCCUUACGGGCAGCCGCCACAUAGGCACGAACACAUCACCCUUAGCUUGAUUGGCCUCAAGUUUGUUCCAUGCGAGUGAAUUGACACUUUUAGUUGUCUUGUCCGCGACUAUGGCCUUCAUAAUUCCUCCUUGUUUUAAAUAAGAAUGAUCAAGCCAGCUCGCUUAACUUCUUCCAAAGGGUCCCAAAUGAAGCAACAACGUCAAACCAAUGCAGUGUAUCCUCAUCAACCUAAAUCAUCUCUCUAAAUCCUUCGCAUCAACCCAAGCCACUCUCUUUAUCGGUGCCUUACAAUAAUUGUGGCGUUGAUGCUUGAAAGUAGCUCCAAAAUGCAUCCAUCAUAUGCUUGCAAUCUUAAAUUCCACCCUCAAUUAUCCACCGAAUCAAAGAUAAUACAAAAAGAAAACCAAAAAAAAUCAGGACAACAUUAACAAAAAAAUGUAUAUAAUUUCUAGAAACAACUAUGUUCACCUAGAUUUCAUCCAUGGUCCCAUUCCUCUCUCAAAUAAUUCGCAUCUUCUUGUCCUCUUCUCAUUCCCUCUCCUUUUUUUUUCUCAUCUCUUACACCAACUAACAACAAACAUGAAAUGGCAACCAAAUAGGCACCAAAAGAACACCACCAAUGAACACUUGUACAAGAGCAGACCCACCCCAUCGACAUCCUACGGGCCUUUUUUCAACCACGUUGAAGCCCGAGAAGAAGAAACCAAUCAUCUCCUCCUCCUUGUCUCGUGCCCGUCCGGGCAUCCGGGCCAUGCUGUGUCCUUUGGUCUCUAGUGCUAAAAGGGUUUUCACCACGGCGUGGACCCCCACAGGACCUCGGCCAGCACGGUCGCGGCCUCCGCCUCGUCGAUCACCGCCUCCCUCACCCUCGCCAGCACCUCCGCUUUGAACGCCCGCUUCUCCCUCUGCCUCAGCCCCUCCCCCACCUCUACGCUCACUGCGAAUCGCGCGACGCAGCUCGCGAACGGCCGCGUAGACAGGUACUGCGACUCCCUGCUCUCCCCUCGCCUCGCCUUCCCAACUCCCCCCGCCUGGAUCCCGUCACCACCCCUCUCCGCCCCUCGAUCCUCGCCGUCCAUCUCGAUCAGGGCGCCCCCGAGAUCGGACAUCUGGAGCGAGACCAGCCGCUUGAGCAGGCCCUCGGCGAGCAUCGCGUCCACGGCAUCCUUCCGGCCGUAGUAGCCGAUCUCGAGGGCGCAGUCGAGGGCGAGGACGCGGACCUCGACCUCGCCGGCGGCGAGGAGCCCGACGAGCCGCGGGAUCUCCCCACGGGCGUGGAGCUCGUCCACGAGCGGGCUUCGGAUGGCCGCGAUCAGGCCGUUGAGGGCGGCGAGCGCGGCGGCGGAGGACAUGGCCACCAGGGCGCCGACGGUGGGGCCCAUCAGGAUGGGGCCGACGAAGACGUCCUUGUUGAACCGGACCAUGGCCAGUACCGCCGCCGCGGACCGCUCCCGGACUCGCUUCGAGGCCGCGGGGUCGGCGAGGGCGGACUCCACGGCGGCGAACGCCCCAGACCGGAGGAGCACCUCCUGGAGCCCCCGAUCGAAUUCCCCGGCGAGCCUCACCUCCAGCGCGGCCAGCAGCGCCACCCGCUCCUCGUCGUCGGUGGCGGAGAUCAGCCGAUCCACGCUCUCCCGGUCGAUCCAGGACUGGAUCUCGGUCCCGAUCGACCCGGCGACGCGGGAGAUCUCGUGUUUGCCGGACCUCCGGCGGAAGUGGGGGAAGAAGGAGCGGGACUUUUGGUGCUUGGAUUUUAGGGCAAGGGCAAGAUCCUUGAGGUGAGAGAGGAGGCGGGAGAGGGUGGAGAGGUGGGGGUCUCCGGAGAGGAGGUCGUCGGAGCCAGUCUGGAGCUCGAGGAGGGCCUUCAUGGAAGGGGAGGCGGCGUGUCCGCCGCCGCCGUCGGGGUUGGCUUCGAUCUCUUUGGAAGCCUUCCUGAGCGCUUCGAGGGCCUUCAAGACCUCCUUCUUCUGCCUCUCUUCCAUUAACGAACGAAGCCAAACGCUAUAGAAGGGGAGAGGGGAGAGAGCUAAGAAGAGAAAGAGGGUACUAGAACUACCGCUCUUCCUCGAUUCCGAUCCAUCGCUCGGUCUCCCAAUUCUAUAACCACUAGUCUUUAGAAGUGGCGGGCGGCGAACCAAGGACCAGGCCACACGGGCCAAACGUGCGGCACGUGGUCGGAUUAGCUCCUUAGCGAAUUCUAAGCUUUUGUACAAACUGAGCAGCGAUUGCAAUACAACGCUUACUUUGUCAUUCGUGCUCAGUGCUACAUGCGUCCACAGGACUAUUAAAGUCCACGCGUACUGCGCUUAGGUCAGCUUCAGUACGUUGGCGUCAUGGACUCGGAAUCAAUAAAUUGGGUUAAAAAAAAUUGAGGACUACACCACAAGGAAGAAGGACAAAAUAUAAAAACUCUUGGUGGUUAAAAAAAUGCAAAACUAUAAUUUAUUGGGUUUUGUUCCGGACCGUAGGAUGGGAAUCGGACGGGAUGGAUGGAGGGGAAGUGAUGGGUGGGGCCCGGCAAGAAGAGCGAAUGGCGGGCAGACUCAUGACAAGAGCUGACUGCAGGUUGGACGUAGGCGGAGGGGAGCGACAGGAAAAGGUGAACGCGGGAUCCGAGGUGCGAGGACAUCCGUCUGAUUGAGAUCGGACGGGAUGUAGUAGGUGGAGCAGGUACCGGGGGGAAGUUGAGCAAAUUACGGGGACAGUGCCGUGUGGUGUUCGGUUUUUGGGCGCGAGUAGAUUGACGUGAGGGGGUAAACGGAUUCGGGCGGAUAUUCGGAUCUGUUAAUGAGAAUUUGGAAUAUGUCCCAAGUUAUAUACCCUUAGGCAGAAAAUUUAGUUUUUUAUAUACUCCUAUCCCUAAUUAUAUAGUAUAAACCCUUUCCUAGAAUAUAGCAUGUCAUGCACACAAGAAGAACCAUGGUUUCAUGGAAGUAGAGUUUAGUGUACAUGCCAUGGAGGAAGAUAAUCCAAAGAUGUAGUAAUAUAAUGUUUUAAUCUAUUUUAAAAUUAUCUUUCAAAUAUAAUAUAACAGUGUAGUAUAUUAUCUUUACAAUAUUAUCUAGAUUUGUCAAAACCAUCGCAACACUAUUAUGGUACUGUAACGGCUAUUGCUUGAAGUAAUAGAGUAAAUUAUAUUUGUACGAGCUAGAAUACAGGUUAUACUAAAUUUCAAGACCAUAGAUUUAUUGAUUAGCUUGAGUUUGAGUUAAAACUAAAUUAUAAAUAUAGUUUGUUAUAUAUGAUAUAAAACAUACUUUUGGAACAAAUUAAAAGUAUAUUUACUUUAUAUGUCUUCUCUUGGUAUAUAUCUUUAUUAUAUUUUAUUAAACAAAAUAUGAAUGUUAGAUUUAUUUAUUUCAAUUGUUAUAUAAAUUCUUUUGUAAUUGCUAUAAUGUUUGCUUAACAAAUUAAAAACCUUUAUUCUAUAGCCUACAACUGUUUGUUAACAUUUUCAGUUUUAGCUCCCUUGUUCCAUUGAUUUGAUUAGUACAUGGUUUUCACCUUAUUAAUGAUAAUAUGGAAUAUGAGAAGAAUUUAAAUCUCUUUAUUGAUAUUAAUGACUACAUGAUGAUAACUAAAAACCAUUAUUGUAUAGCCUUCAUUUAAUUACUAUAUGACUUUAAUUAAUGUAUUGACUUAAUUAAUACACGACUUUCAACUUAUUAAUAAUAAUAUGGAAUGUGAGAAGGAUCUAAAUCCCAUCAUUAAUAUUAGCAUCCAUAUGAAAAGUGAAAAAUUCAGCACGCAGGGCCUCCAUUUUAUUACAUAUAUACAAUAAAUGCAAUAGAUAAGAAUUCAUGGCUAUAAUCUCGUGUCCGCCUAUAUAUAACUUGCCACGUACGCACUUAAAUUUCUAAGAUAAAGAUGCAGGACUAUGAGACAUCGAGACUAUUUUUUUUUCGGUUAAACACUCAUUCCCUCAUUUAGUUAUGGGAAGCCUGGCUCAUUGUUAGGUGAAAAUCCAAUGGCAAAGCCCUUUAAACAAUCCAAAGCUUAGAAAUAAUGGAACAGCCCGAGUAAAUGAAAUAUCUAAAUAUUUUCCCGUUUAAUUUCUCGUGGAGAAAAGCCUAUCUCUUCAGUUAGCCUCUCUUCUAGUUUCCUCAAGAAGUGAUAAGGUCUGUGACUGUCUCACUUUAUUGAUGAUAUAAGUGUUUUGGAGGAGCUAACGACUGGUGUUUUGCAUGGCCUUGUGUGAUCUCUAAUGUCGAGCAAGUUAUUCAGUUUCACAUCAUCAAGUCUCUCCAAGUAACAAGCAUUAGGUCCUCUUAGAAACAAAAUUAGCAGUCUUCAGGAAUGCUGGUUUAAAAUAGAGACGGCCAACAGUCUUCUGAUGCAUAAUUAAACAAUUUGGAUGAAAUGAAAUUGAAAUGAGAAAAUCAAAUAGAUGAGGGCACAACAGGGCAUAGAUGAAAACAAACAACUGAUAAAUAUGACAAGAACGAUUUCUUAUUUCAUUUUCUCAAUCUGCAGCUACAUAGUAUAUCUUUGAUAUGAAAAAGAACACGCCGUGCUCUAUAUACCUUAAAUAUCUCCGAUAUCAAAUAUCCAAUGUCAGUUGCAAUUCUUACACAUCACGAUUUUCCAAAAUAUUCUCUGUCCAAUUGUUGUAUGCUACGAUUUUCAUCCGAAAAAACAGAGAUCAAGAUGAAUUAAAAAAAUUUCUGAGAAUAACCAAGGUGAAUGAUACAACAAGCGGCUAUUACAACACAGUUUCACGGCUGUGGCUGCAAUUUGUCUUACCUUCAGAACUGAAUUAUAUAUCAAGAUGUUCUCCAAACAUGGGUUUAAGAGAAAGAAAUCAAAGGAAUUGCCAAUCCUGCAUGAUGAAAUGGAGGUAAAACUGGCUUUUAUUGAUCAUAUAUCCUGGUAAAUUGGCUGCGGUGUCCACUUGAGACUCAAAUUUAGCUUUCCAAUUUCUGACCCCUCAAUACAAAAACUAUCUGCAAACUCUUCUUCAAUUAUAACUCUCGUCAGCGUAAUAAUGCAUCUCCCAAUGAAGUCCUAAAAUGAUAGAAAAGAUGGUUAACAUGAUUUCUCAGGAACAGAAUGUUAUACCUACAUAAUGUGAAUUGGGUAACAAGAUUCAACUCUAAAUGUGCUUAGAUACAACCAAGCGGACAAAUAUCCAAACCAAGAUGUUGAGCAAGAUAACUCUUUAGUUCAUGUUAGAUGACCAAGAAAGGUGGAACCAUCUCGAACCACCUAGUUUGGAGCAUACUAAGCCAUACCGGCAGCAGAUUAAGAUGGUUUUGGCGAUGAAAUCGAGAGACCGGGAUGGCUGGGGAGCCAUGCGGAGGGGCGAAGAAUCCGCAAACAGGGAUCCUAGAGGAGGCUUCUUUUUAAUUUACAAAAUUUUAAAUGAAGUCAGCAAGAGAUUUGACGACUUCACUUAAAAUUUUCCAAAUUAAAAAGAGGUCCCCUCCAGGACUCUGUUUCAUUCCCGGUCACUAGUGGCCUUGAGCCGAACGUCUGCCACCCUCCCUUGCUCUUCCUCCCUCUCCCUCUCCCUCAUUCUCCCUCUCUGCCAUAUCGAGCUGCUCUCCACCGGCCUUGUUCCUCUCUCCCUCCCUCUCCCUCUCCCUCCCUCCCCCACCUCUCUCUUUUUACUCUCUCCCGUUCUCCCUCUCCCCUGCCCUCUCUGCUGUGUCAGCAAUAACCUAGUAUGGAACAAUGCGGACNNNNNNNNNNNNNNNNNNNNNNNNNNNNNNNNNNNNNNNNNNNNNNNNNUGUGCCUUGGUACCAACAUAGGGAACCUUGGGUUAUACUAACAAUAAUAUUAAUUGUUGUAACAUGGUAGAUCCUAACCAAGUCGCUGCAACUACUAAUGCAUCAAUAGGAUGAAAAAGACAUACCUUUUUCAGCAUGUCAUGAUCCCAAACUUCCAAAAUAAGCAAAUCAUGUAGCCCAUCUUCCACAACAAAGUGAAAAGUCUCGUGCCAGAUCGGAUUCAAGCUCUUGUUCACAACCUGCACUAGCCCAUAUUAUUUUGAAAUUCAAAAGGAUAACAAGUAGCAGGAAGUCACGUAGAUCACAGGUUUACCCUUGUUCUGUUCCUCAUUUCGGUUUUCAUCAUCUUAAGCACAACAUAUGGGUCAGACUUUCCUGUAAUAUCCAUAGCGGGCAAGUUUACUGCAGAUAUAACUGACACAGAAAGCACUCCUCUCGCCAUGCCAACUCUUUUCCUUUGUCUUGCUCUUUCAAAAUCUGCAACCUUUGUUCCAUUUGCCCCAUUAGCAAGGACCUUCUCCAAAGAAGUUAAUGAUAGCUGCUUUGCGAAAGGAUUAGGAAACUCUCUCUCCGUGCCAAAAGGACAGUAGAGAAGCUCAAGGUACACCUGAUGUGACAAGUUCAAUUAUCGGAAGACACUUUCAGACUUCUCAAGGAGAAAUACAAGUAAGCUCACAUAAAACUUGUACAAAGAAAAAUAAAAGAAAAAUUUACCAAGAUUUUCUUUAAUCUGGGCUGUUUAGAAGGGUUUUAUAACAAAAAGAUAAAUGAUUCUACUGAUGUAACCAAAUAGCUGGUCCUGAUAAAUGCAUAAUCUACUACAGAUACUCAUGGGCAUUCUCAAUACACAUACACACAUGCAUGCAUGUAUGUAUAUAGUAUUUAUACAUAUACAUAUAUGUAAGACAGCAUUAUUAUAGAAAUUGGCAGAAAAGAAAGGUUUCUAUACACACCACCCUUGCUACCUAGAUUUUGUUUUAUUCCCCUUGCAUCAAAGGCAAGGACAUUUUUGCGAAUUUCACUGAGGCAAUAAAUGGAGCCCAAAGAUUCAAUCACACAGGCUAAGUAUGACACAUUUAAUUCCCAACUAAAUUAUGAAGAUUGUCUUCUUUACUCUCAAGUGCAUGCCUAGUAAGAAAGCUACUAAGAUAGUUUCGGCAGUGUCUAAAUCUCUCUAAUUUGCUCUCGUGUAACAACCUUUGCCACGUGCACAUGUGGGGGCAUGCGCGGUGCACAUAUUCCUGCAUGUUCGUACAUGCACCUGGCUUUAUUUUUAUGUGCAUGCCUGCAUGCUUGUAGUUGCAUCUGUGUGUGCAUGCACAUAGGCAUGUGCAUAUGUGUGUAUACAUGGGCAUGUGCGCAGACCUCUUUCUUUCACCCUGUCUAUACCACAACCUUGCACAUACACGUGCGCAUGCAAGUGGGUAUGUAUAUCUAGAUAUAAAUGAUAGAGAGAUAACCACACUCAACUGAAUUUGAUGGCAAUUCCAGUAAGGAAGUAUCCAAAUGAAAACAUGAUGCGAUAAUCUACAACAAUAAACAUCUUCCAAACGAAAAAUCAUAUGUUUAGAGAUAGGGCUGUCUAAAUGUGGAUGCACCAUCCAUCAAGUUAAUGUGCUAAAACAUGUUGUAGGGCACAUAGAUUCAGAAGCUGGGCCAUCAAUAUUUAUUUAGACAUCUUACAAUAUAUACAAACCAAAAUCAACUAUUUUGGAUGCUUUAACCCACAUGUACACUAUAUUAAAUAUCAACUAAAAAGGAAUAUGCUGAAUAGAUUCCAACAAUCACAUUACAAACCAAAAUGACCUUACUUUUGCCAAGAAUUGUUAAUUCAAUUGGUCGCACCACUUCCCUAAGGGCUAGCACUUCAGUGAAGGCCUGCAGAACAGCAUGCUACCUGGAGUAGAUCAAAUGCGCUAGGAUCCAGAACAAACACCAAAAAUUAUAACAAGGAAGAGAUGCUGGAAGAGAAAUUUAAGAGGAGAAAAAAUAUUUUGUUUAAAAAAAUUGUAAGCCGAGAUUCAAACUCAACUCUCUCACAAGCAAGAAAGCCACAAGCUCUCUCUCUCUCUUUCUUUCUUACACCACAUACCAAAAGAUGCCUCAUGUUCCCUAUGAAAAGGCGCCUCAAGCUCUCCCUUUUUAGGACGCCACAUGCUUCCCCUAAAGAAAGAGCCCUCACAUAAGUUCAAUUCCCACCCAAACUCAAAAAACAAUAGGAAACCAAUGCCCACUAAAAGAUAAAAUUUUGUAUGUUGAUCCUAAGUCUCAAUUCCUAGACCAACACUAAAAUAAAGAAAAGCUAAUUAAGCAUUGGAGUUCGUGAUGACUCCAACACACCCCCUCAUUGCGAACUCCAUGCUAACAAUGCCGAGCUUACUGUGCAAAUCUUCAAACCGCUCAACCACCAAUCCUUCGUAAAGAUAUUUGUCAGCUGGUCUUUUGUAGAAAUUGGAAGCAAAUCAACUCCUUCAUCAGCAACUUUUUCUCUAAUGAAGCGAUGAUGAACGUCGAUGUACUUUAUCCUUGCAUAAAACAUUAGAUUCUUCGCUAAAUGAAUAGCAUUUUCAUUAUCACAAUAAAGAGGAACAAUAUAGUUAGCGUCCCAAUCUAAAUCACCAAGCAACCUCAUAAGUUAAGUCGACUCCUGAAUUGCUAUCGCAACAACAUGAUACUUUGUCUUUGUACAAGAUAGGCUAUCUGUUACUACACCAAGGAACAACUCCAUAUCCCAAGCUAAAAGAAUAACCAGUGGUAGAUUUACAUGUAUCCACAUUACCACCUUAGUCUGCAUCUGUAAAGCCUACAAACUUGAUUGAAGAAUUAUCAAUAUAUAAAAUACCAUAAUCAACAUCCUUAGCAAUAUACCUUAGGAUUCGUAAAACUGCAUCAAGAUGUGUCCGCCGAGGAUACUGCAUAUAUCAGUCCAACUACACAAGAAAUAUCUGGCUUUGCAAGAGUCCAAUAAAUUAAAUUGCCCAUAACAUGCACGAUCAUCAAGAAGUUUGCCUUGCUCUUUGCUCAACAUUAAAUUUGAUUCAAUUGGUGUCCGUAUAUGCUUGCAAUUAGCCAAUCCAUAUGCAUUCAAUAAAUAAGAGAUUAUUUUCUCUAACAAACAAAAUAGCCAUCCUUAAGCUUAGCAACUUCAAUGCCAAGGAACUAUCUCAAUUCACCAAGUUAUUUCAUCUCAAACCGUAUAGAUAGCUGUCCACAAACACUAUGGACCUCAUCAACAACAUUAGCGAUAACAAUCAAAUCAUCAACAUAGAGGCAAACAAUUACUAUACCCUUAGUGUGCUUCCCAAAUAUAUUAGAAUCUACAGAAGAUAGAGAAUAGCUACAAAAUAAUAAAUAUUAUGUAUUUUUUUCCAUAUGCUCUAGACACCUACUUGAUAUCAUACAAAGCUUUCCUAAGUUUGCAAACAAACAUAGGAAGAGAGGAGUCAACAAAAUCAGGAGGUUGCAUCAGUCAACAAAAUCGGGAGGUUGCAUCAUAUAAAUAUCCUUAUCAAGAUCACCAUAUAAGAAGGCAUUCUUGACAUCCAUUUGCUACAAAGACCAACCCUUGCUAGCUGCUAAAGAAAUAAGCACUUUGACUGUAGUUGAUUUUGCUAUUAGAUUGUAGGCCUUAUCAAAAGUCAACUCCAUACUUUCGUGAAAAUUUUCUUGCUACAAGCCUAGCUUUAUAGCGUUCAAUAGAGCCAUCACUCUUCCUUUUACCUUAUAAACCUACUUACAAGAAAUAGGAGAGAUACCACUAAGCAAAGAAACUAAAUCCUAUGUCUCAUUCUUCUUAAGAGCUGCAAUUUCUUUUUUCAUGGCAUCCUCCCAAACACCAAUGCCCUUGGCCUCAUCAUAUGAAGUGAGCUUUAGCUAAUCAACAACAAUAGAAGAAUAAUCCCAAUGUUCAUACUUAUCAACUAGUUUCUUCUUUAUGUUGCUUCUCUGCAAUGGUGAUAGAUCCUCAGGAGCUUUAGGUUCAUCUUCAAGUAACUUUAUGUUUUCUUUAAGUAAGCAUUAUGCACACACACACAUGCAUAUAUACAGUAAAUGUUUUGAUCAAUUAUGAAGGAAUCUAGGUCAACUAAGGUUACAACAUCUGCUUGCUCCUAAGAUAGCUGAAAGGAACUCAUUUUUUGACCUAUAUAAAUGUCCUAGGGAGGACAUUUAUCGCUUAUGAGUGCAACUACAUCUUGAUCCACCAUGCGUCCAUUCAUCCAUCUAUAUGUUAAUCCUUCACAGAAGAGUGUAUCUGAAGACCCAUAAUUGAUAUCAACCACACAAGCAUACUUAGAGAAAUUAAGAAGAGAUCUAAACAUGAUGUUAAAAGAUAUAAUCUUAUAAAGUAUCACCUAUAAUUGGUUUUGGUUAGUUUUUUCCAAAGUUGGCCAAAAUCACUAAAGUUAACAAAAUUGGCCAAAACUUGCAACCAAGGGUGAGUUUGGCUUAGUGUCAACUAAAUGGAUCUUCAGCUGAAAUUUAUAACGUUGAUUGGAAAUACCUUUGCUCUUUAAAGCUGAAUGCGGUGCAAGUAAAAAGAAUGGUUCUUGUUGAAGGAUAGUCCCAUAUAAGUUGUGGAAGGGAGAUUGAUGGUCCUUAAAUACUCUUGGGCCUCUUCCUAUUAGCCCGAUCUUUUGAGUCGGUAUCCUAAAACAGUAUUAGAGUUUGAUCCAUUCCCUUGUCGUUACCGAUAUGGCUCCAUGAUCCCCCUUUUCCAUCCCGCAUGUUGUCCUUAUGAAGGUUUCUUGUGGGUUGUUCACAUGAGAAGGGGUAUUGAAGGAUAGUCCCACAUUGGUUGUGCAAGGAAUGCCGAUAGUCCUUAAAUACUCUUGGAUCCUUCCUUAUUGUUGUGCAAGGGUUAUUAACGGUCCUUAAAUACUCUUGGGCCCUUCUUCCUAUUAAAUUGAGUUUUUGGAUGUAGUCCUACGACAACAUCAAAGUCCAAUUUGUUCCCUCAUUAUUGGCCAGUAUGGCUCUGCCCUUCCCCUUUUCCAUUCUAUGUUGCCCUUGUGAAGUUUCCAUCCUACGGGUUCUCCACGUGAGAGGAAUAUUGAAAGAUAGUCACACAUCAACUCUGCAAGGGAUGCUAAUGAUCCUUUAACACUCUUGGACCCUUAUUAGCUCCAAUUUUUGGCUUGAAUUUUAAGAAGCUAAUAAGUGGAAGGGCUCAAGAGUAUUUAAGGAUCAUCAACAUCCCUUGUAUAACUGAUGUAAGACUAUCCUGCAGGUUCUCCACAUGAAAGGGCGUAUUAAAAAAUAGUCCCACAUCGAUUGUGCAAGGGGUGUCGACAGUCCUUAAAUACUCUUGGGCCUUUUCUCCCAUUAGCUUGGGCUUACAAGUAGGAUUCCUAAGAUUGUACUAGAGCUUGGUUUGCUUCCUUGUUGUUGCCAAUACAACUCCAUGCUCACCCUUUUCUAUUCCACAUGUUGCCCUUGAGAAGGUUUCAUCUUGUAGGUACUCUCCUCUUAGCUUGGGCUUUCAAGUAGGAUUCCUAAGAUUGUACUAGAGCUUGGUCUACUCCCUUGUUGUUUCCAAUACAGCUCCAUGCUUCCCCUUUCCAUUCCACGUGUUGCCCUUGAGAAGGUUUCAUCUUGUAGGUUCUCUACAUUAGACAAGGUGCUGAAGGAUAGUCCUUUAAUAGCUAGUCCCUCGGGCUAAUAGACCGACCUGAGAGGCUAGGGCCCGUGGAGUGGAGGGAGCACAUGUGUUGCACGUGUGAGCGAAGAGAGGAAGACUCUGGUUAGGGGUCUUCUUCUUCUCCAAUCUUGCCGAACUCUAAGAGUCCUAGGGCGAGCAAACCUUAUCAAAACCCUAGGGAUUUUAUCUAUUUAAAGUCCUCCUCCUCCUUUGAACUCCAUCACCGAUAAUUCAAGGAAUAGCCGCCGAUCUCAAGUUUUUUUCUCCAAAUCUUUUUCUUGGAUCUUUGCUAGAGAAGUCGCCAGACUACCUCGCCGGACUGAGGCAAUCCUCUUUCUCCUUGUUUUGGUUUCUAGCCAUUGCCACCUUGAUCUGAGCCAGCGAAUCGUCGGGAUUCCAUCCGAAAUAGGGGUGCCCUAUUUCGGUCAUCUUCUUACUUGUUCACUGCCACCGGCCGCCGGAUGGGGCCAAACUUCGCCGCUUUCUGGGAUCUCCAAAGUUGGGUAGUCAUUGGUCAGAAAGAUAGCCAUGAUAUAGGCCGAGUUGUUGGUUCCUUCUUGAUCUUCCUCUCAUUUUUUCUAUGCCGACCAACCACCAUUGCUGGUGAUGCUUUGGCGGAGGGUCUGCCCUUGGCCACCGCAACCGGAGCAUGGCCACCUUGGUCGCACUACCCCUAAUCCGAGAAGAAAGGGAGAGAUGGGCUCUCCCCUACUUUGGAAAAGAAGAGAGCCCUCUCUCUUCUUUCUCUCGCCUCUUUUCUCUUUCUCUCUCUCUUUCCUCUCUCUUUCUUUGUUUUUUCUUCCUCUCUUUCUCUCUCUUUGCAUGGAUCUAUGGACCCUAGAGGAGGGUCAUGGCCUCCUCAAUGGACCUUUAGUUGACUCUUAGAAAAGAGAGUCUUGAACCCCACUUGUGGCCAUGCAGCGCAUCAGCUUUACCCCGACCAUCGCCGAGCACCAUUGGAUUCUAUCAUCAUGAAUCUCUAUUAUGUUACGUAUACUAUAGUCUGAUUCUUGUUUCAUGAGUUGACUAGUUGGACUGAUCCGGAUCGUCGGACGCUGCUACCUAGUCAACGCAUGUCCUUCCUUCACCCUAAUUUUUGUUGGCUACCAAUGAACCCAUAAUUGAUGACUCCUGAUCUAUUAUCUUUUUUGAUUGGAUAUAUAUUUCUUGAUCAGAUGAAUUGGGUUACACUAUGCUGACUGAUUCGAAUAAUUGGGUGUUGUCAUCUAGCCGGCCUGUUACUUCAUCCUAUACGAAUCUGUUUUCAUAGUCAGCUCUGGUUUUGUAUGGGGGUGUAGUCAUCCGAACAUAAAGAAGCCCAAUGAGAUUUUAUACCCUAGUUUCUAAAUCGAGGUAAGGCCCUAAUCCUUUAUUUAUUUUAUUUUUUAAUCAAAGAAGGAUAGAGAAAAUAUAGGUAAUUCAAAUAUUGGAACUAAAAUUAUGAAAUUAGUGAGAAAUUAAUUUAUUAAUAUUGUUGGUCGUUGAUUGAGGAUAUGUUGGUUUUAUAUUGACAUUAAAUUAACUAGACAUGUUAGGUGAGGAUUAGUAGAGUUGUAGCUGAGUUGGUUACGGUAGAGGUAAGAAUCUCUGCAUCUGAUUACCAAUAUAUAUAUAUAUAUAUAUAUAUAUAUAUAUAUANNNNNNNNNNNNNNNNNNNNUAUAUAUAUAUAUAUAUAUAUAUAUAUAUAUAUAUAUAUUUAUUGACUUAUAUCACUGGUUUUGCAUCAUGAGGUUUGUGUUUAUGGAUUUGGUUCGCAUGAGAAGAUAUGCUUUAUAUAGUUUUCGGUGUGCACAUACUUAUAUGAUUAUUAUAUGCACCAUAUAUUGAAAACAUGACUAUAUAAACAAUGAUCAUAAAUACCUUGAAUUUGUGAGAAAUACGCUAUGUAAUUGGAAUUUGAUUUGACAAGGAUAACAUAUAAAUCAGAUGGAUAAGAGGUGGGACAACCUCCACGAGCUUACGCAUGGGACAACCUCCAUGGGCUUACGCAUGAGACAUCCUCCAUGAGCUUAUGUGUGGGAUAGCCUCCACAGGCUUAUGCAUAGGAUUAGCAAUCUUGAAUUGGGUCAUGAUCUUGAUUAGUGCAAAGCCGGAAAGAUAAUUGUUAUGAAACUUGAAAUUAAGAUAACGAGAAAUGGAUGAUAAGACACAUGAAACCAAUGCCAAAUGAAAGUUUACUUCUUGGUAUUUGUGAUAUAUCUCUUUUGAUAAGCCAAUAUUUGAUUAUUGCAUAUGCAAAGAUCUGUCGAUUUAAUUGAGUUAUAAUAGAUGUUUGAAAACAGGGUUCAUAAUAUUUGUUUUCAUUUUAAUAUUGCUUAUUGCUAUUUUCAAACUAUAUUAUUAUAUUUGUGUGAAUGUGCAGAGAUUCUUAUUGGGUUGUAAAACUCACAACCUCCUUUUUCUUUUCUUUUCAGAGUUGCAACUUGCUCAGUACUUAGCUAUGGUUGAGAUCACAAGUGAAG